AGGUAUCUAUAUGUGCGCUAAUCAUUAAAGACUGCUAUGUGAUCGUUAUACGAAUUCCAGUGUUAGCUUUAGCCUGUUUAGCUUUUUAAUAUUUAAUAAAGGUUCGUUCUAAUGUAA
rnacentral:lncRNA from 1 species